rnacentral:rRNA from 1 species
CGAACGGGUGAGUAACACGUGAGUAACCUGCCCUUGACUCUGGGAUAAGCGUUGGAAACGACGUCUAAUACCGGAUACGACCUUCGGAGGCAUCUCCUGGGGGUGGAAAGAAUUUCGGUCAAGGAUGGACUCGCGGCCUAUCAGCUAGUUGGUGAGGUAAUGGCUCACCAAGGCGACGACGGGUAGCCGGCCUGAGAGGGUGACCGGCCACACUGGGACUGAGACACGGCCCAGACUCCUACGGGAGGCAGCAGUGGGGAAUAUUGCACAAUGGGCGCAAGCCUGAUGCAGCAACGCCGCGUGAGGGACGACGGCCUUCGGGUUGUAAACCUCUUUUAGUAGGGAAGAAGCGAAAGUGACGGUACCUGCAGAAAAAGCACCGGCUAACUACGUGCCAGCAGCCGCGGUAAUACGUAGGGUGCAAGCGUUAUCCGGAAUUAUUGGGCGUAAAGAGCUCGUAGGCGGUUUGUCACGUCUGCUGUGAAAACUGGAGGCUCAACCUCCAGCCUGCAGUGGGUACGGGCAGACUAGAGUGCGGUAGGGGAGAUUGGAAUUCCUGGUGUAGCGGUGGAAUGCGCAGAUAUCAGGAGGAACACCGAUGGCGAAGGCAGAUCUCUGGGCCGUAACUGACGCUGAGGAGCGAAAGCAUGGGGAGCGAACAGGAUUAGAUACCCUGGUAGUCCAUGCCGUAAACGUUGGGAACUAGAUGUAGGGACCAUUCCACGGUUUCUGUGUCGCAGCUAACGCAUUAAGUUCCCCGCCUGGGGAGUACGGCCGCAAGGCUAAAACUCAAAGGAAUUGACGGGGGCCCGCACAAGCGGCGGAGCAUGCGGAUUAAUUCGAUGCAACGCGAAGAACCUUACCAAGGCUUGACAUAUACCGGAAAAGUUCAGAAAUGUUCUCCCCGCAAGGUCGGUAUACAGGUGGUGCAUGGUUGUCGUCAGCUCGUGUCGUGAGAUGUUGGGUUAAGUCCCGCAACGAGCGCAACCCUCGUUCUAUGUUGCCAGCACGUAAUGGUGGGAACUUCAUAAGGAAGACUGCCGGGGUCAACUCGGAGGAAGGUGGGGAUGACGUCAAAUCAUCAUGCCCCUUAUGUCUUGGGCUUCACGCAUGCUACAAUGGCCGAUACAAAGGGCUGCAAUACCGCGAGGUGGAGCGAAUCCCAAAAAGUCGGUCUCAGUUCGGAUUGAGGUCUGCAACU